GCGUCUGACACCGCCUGAAAAAAUUUUGUCGGCAAAUAGAAAUAUUUGUCGGUGAACUUUCUGAACCUCCCCCCGUCGACAAAUAAAACCAAAAUCCAAAAUUUUGUCGGCAAAGUAAAACGUACAUCUCCCUAUCGAACUGCUCUAGCUACGGUCCUGACAAACGUCUUUCACAUCUGCGCCUAAAUUAGACUGCUGGGCGUUGGUGAAGGAUUGGAGGCGACGAAGGAUUGUGGGUAACGGAUAGCGGGCGGCGGAGCGUAGGUAACAGAUUGCGGACGGCGGAUAGGGUAUCACAACCAUAUUAAAAGCUAAGCCCGGAGAACUCUUCGUACACUCGUACUGCAAUACAUCUUUUCGAUAAUUGCGUCACGAAGGUCAUUUUGGCCUAGGAGCCUCGCUUUCAUUAAUAAAAUACGCUAGGCGAUUGGAUUGCAAUUCAUGAGAGCGAGGCUCCCAGAUCAAAAGAUGUACUUGACUAGGUGCAGAAGUUGCAAAAUCCAAGUGCGAAC